UACAGAGGGUGCAAGCGUUAAUCGGAAUUACUGGGCGUAAAGCGUGCGUAGACGGUUAUGCAAGUCGGAUGUGAAAGCCCCGGGCUCAACCUGGGAAUGGCAUUCGAAACUGCAUAGCUAGGGUGCGGAAGAGGGAAGCGGAAUUUCGGGUGUAGCGGUGAAAUGCGUAGAUAUCCGAAGGAACAUCAGUGGCGAAAGCGGCUUCCUGGUCCAGCACCGACGUUCAGGCACGAAAGCGUGGGGAGCAAACAGG
rnacentral:rRNA from 1 species